UAGAUAAAAGUUCGCUGGAUUGAACACUUAGCUGUUAAUUAAGAUGUUGCAGGAUCAAGGCCUGUUUAUCUAG
rnacentral:tRNA from 14 species